rnacentral:sRNA from 1 species
GCAGAGCUGACUCUGGGAGGCGUUUGGGCCCAGAGAAGUGGAUCCGCCGCUUGCGCCGCAUGGAGUCCGAAUCGGAAAGCGGGGCUGCUGCUGACACCCCCCCACUGGAGACCCUAAGCUUCCAUGGUGAUGAAGAGAUUAUCGAGGUGGUAGAACUUGAUCCCGGUCCGCCGGACCCAGAUGACCUGGCCCAGGAGAUGGAAGAUGUGGACUUUGAGGAAGAAGAGGAGGAAGAGGGCAACGAAGAGGGCUGGGUUCUAGAACCCCAGGAAGGGGUGGUCGGCAGCAUGGAGGGCCCCGACGAUAGCGAGGUCACCUUUGCAUUGCACUCAGCAUCUGUGUUUUGUGUGAGCCUGGACCCCAAGACCAAUACCUUGGCAGUGACCGGGGGUGAAGAUGACAAAGCCUUCGUAUGGCGGCUCAGCGAUGGGGAGCUGCUCUUUGAGUGUGCAGGUGAGGGGGCUGGGGUAGAGGCCUGGGAGAGGUCAUAUUCUUUUGGGAGAUCUUAGGAGGCUGACCUGCAGAGGUUGUGCAUCCAAUAGCCACUUAGUGACAUCUCUUUUGUGC